GACGUAGGGCGCGAGCGUUGUCCGGAUUUAUUGGGCGUAAAAGAGCUCGUAGGCGGUCUGUCGCGUCUGCUGAUGAAAACUCAGGGCUUAACCCUGAGCUUGCAGUGGGUACGGGCAGACUAGAGUGCGGUAGGGGAGACUGGAAUUCCUGGUGUAGCGGUGAAAUGCGCAGAUAUCAGGAGGAACACCGGUGGCGAAGGCGGGUCUCUGGGCCGUAACUGACGCUGAGGAGCGAAAGCAUGGGGAGCGAACAGG
rnacentral:rRNA from 1 species